rnacentral:rRNA from 1 species
CCUACGGGAGGCAGCAGUGAGGAAUAUUGGUCAAUGGACGAGAGUCUGAACCAGCCAAGUCGCGUGAAGGAUGACUGUCCUAUGGGUUGUAAACUUCUUUUAUAUGGGAAUAAAAUGUUGCACGUGUGGGAUUUUGUAUGUACCAUAUGAAUAAGGAUCGGCUAACUCCGUGCCAGCAGCCGCGGUAAUACGGAGGAUCCGAGCGUUAUCCGGAUUUAUUGGGUUUAAAGGGAGCGUAGAUGGGUUGUUAAGUCAGUUGUGAAAGUUUGCGGCUCAACCGUAGAAUUGCAAUUGAUACUGGCAGUCUUGAGUACAGUUGAGGUAGGCGGAAUUCGUGGUGUAGCGGUGAAAUGCUUAGAUAUCACGAAGAACCCCGAUUGCGAAGGCAGCUUACUAAACUGUGACUGACAUUGAUGCUCGAAAGCGUGGGGAUCAAACAGGAUUAGAUACCCUAGUAGUC